AGAGUUUGAUCCUGGCUCAGAUUGAACGCUGGCGGCAGGCUUAACACAUGCAAGUCGAGCGGGGAAAGGUAGCUUGCUACCUGACCUAGCGGCGGACGGGUGAGUAAUGCUUAGGAAUCUGCCUAUUAGUGGGGGACAACAUUCCGAAAGGAAUGCUAAUACCGCAUACGCCCUACGGGGGAAAGCAGGGGAUCUUCGGACCUUGCGCUAAUAGAUGAGCCUAAGUCAGAUUAGCUAGUUGGUGGGGUAAAGGCCUACCAAGGCGACGAUCUGUAGCGGGUCUGAGAGGAUGAUCCGCCACACUGGGACUGAGACACGGCCCAGACUCCUACGGGAGGCAGCAGUGGGGAAUAUUGGACAAUGGGCGAAAGCCUGAUCCAGCCAUGCCGCGUGUGUGAAGAAGGCCUUUUGGUUGUAAAGCACUUUAAGCGAGGAGGAGGCUACCGAGAUUAAUACUCUUGGAUAGUGGACGUUACUCGCAGAAUAAGCACCGGCUAACUCUGUGCCAGCAGCCGCGGUAAUACAGAGGGUGCGAGCGUUAAUCGGAUUUACUGGGCGUAAAGCGUGCGUAGGCGGCUUUUUAAGUCGGAUGUGAAAUCCCUGAGCUUAACUUAGGAAUUGCAUUCGAUACUGGGAAGCUAGAGUAUGGGAGAGGAUGGUAGAAUUCCAGGUGUAGCGGUGAAAUGCGUAGAGAUCUGGAGGAAUACCGAUGGCGAAGGCAGCCAUCUGGCC
rnacentral:rRNA from 1 species